GUUUUUAAAACCACUCAUUUUCAUACUAUUUUGAAGGAUUUGUACUUGACUCGAGUAUUAUUUAAAUUGAAUACUUGUAGUAAUGUGGUAGGGUAAGUGAUUUGGCUAUCCUAUUGACUCUGCUCAGGGUAUGGCUUUGGCAGACCAAUAGGGUGGGAGCUACCCGACUAUUUAAGGACCCUUAUUUUGGUAGGCACAUGGGUGUCUUGGUGAUUCAGAGUUCCUCGCUCCCCUGGCAUUUCCGGUUCCCAUUUCCAUUCAGGCAUGUUCAGGCACUGCUCACGGUGUAAUGAGGUGAACAUCUCAAGGCUAAUUUGUUUAUUUAUAGUCUUAGAGUGGCACUGGUGGCACGUGCAUUGUGGCGAAUUGGCGCUGGAGAUCACGUUCAGUGAUCGAAACAUUUAUCCGGUGGCUGAAUGAUAUGUAUAUGUAUGUCGAGCCGUGGUACCUGUGAGUAAUCAUGCAACUUAGCGUCUGGUGUUUGUUCAACCCAAUGGAGCCAGUGAGUCUUGGUGUGGGACAGGGGAGGCUAGCUGCAUUUAUUCGGUGGUAUGUGCUUCACAGCAUGCUCAAUGUGCCAAGACAACAACUACCUUAUGGCGUAGGUAGUGUUUGAUGAUUUUGGGUGUGACUUGCAGUGGGUUUGGAAGACCCCUCGAGCUGUAGCUGGCCUGCCUGGUCUCUGCCAAGCCUGGGCCUGGAGAAGUGGUUAGUUUAAAAAUCCUUAUUGAGCUUCAUGGGAGAGCGAUUUUAUACUUGUAUGUUAAGUUUUAAUGAUGCUUAAGUGUCAUAAUAAAAUUUUUAUAUUCAUA